AUGGGCUCAGAGACUUUUGGUCUAGCAAGAGUUAUUUUCAAGCAUUUUGUUUUUUGUAAAUUGGCUCCCAAUACAAAAAAUCCAAUGGAAUCUAGAGAUCCUUCAACAGACAGAUUGGGCUGCAGGUUUGUGUGGUUUUGUUUUGGUAUGUGUGGACUAGCUCACAUUUUGGCAUCAAGGCAUAAUGCACUUGAAGCAUGGUUUGUAUUAAGUCAAGAAAAAGGGAGAGGAUAG